AUUGGAACAAACCUUAAAUAUACUUAUUUUUUAAAUUUAUUUAAUUUUUAUUUAUGUACUAUCUUAAAAUACCGGAGAUUAAUUGAUGAUUUUUAUUUAAUUUUUCAAAUCUGAAACCAUGAAACAAACGGUUUGAAAAGAGAGCUCUGAUGAUAAAAUGAUUGAGCAAUCAAACUCUUUUUUUCGAAAGUAAUAUCUUGGAUAAGUAUUCAAUUAGAAAUUAUUUGUCUGCUUCUACCUCAAAGUAUGGCAAUUAAGAACUCGAUGCACUGCGAGUUCCAAAUCGAAUAUUGAACCCUUACUCCGUCAACUCUACAUUUUGUACUACAUUUGGUUGGAAUUAUAGAUUUCUCAAGAAAAACAAAGGAUGUUUACAAAUUUACAUUUACAUCGAUUAAUUCAAAACCGUGCUACCUGCAUCAGCUAAAAGCUUUUGUCUUAUGUUUGACGAACCUUUCAUCAAUGAUUCCAUGAUUUUCAAAUAAUCACAUAGUUUUACUUAUAAAAGGAAAUGAAUUACUUUAUUCUACCAUCAAAGCCAUUAAAUACAUUUCGUACUGUUGCGUAGAAA